UUUCGGAAGAGGAUGAGGUACGAAGCCCUGGAAAACCACUGUCACGUGAAGUAGGUGAGGUGUUAAGUCAGAAGACAGAUUGAAAUGUGAAAAAGGGUUGGGUAUAAGGGAUUGUUACAUGAACAUAGGCCUAACUGUGACUGUUUAAAGGUGUUUGAGGCAUAUCAACUUAUUUAGUUCAUAUGCAAGUCUGCUUUUAGGAACUCUUUAGUAAUGUCAGACAUAUUAUGCCUGAAAAUAUGAAUACUAUUUAAUUACGCACUCUGCGGGUCAAAAUUAGUAAAAUGGCAUCAUAGCUAUUUUUGUAACAGUAAACUAUCUCUUUAUGUGAAGGCAACCAUGAGUGUUUUGUGAUAAAUAUCGAAAGAGGUUUAUGUUCCCUUAUUUAUUAUAAAUACUGGGAACAUGCUUCUAAUAUACCAAAACAUGAGACAGAAGGUAGUACAUUAUGAGCUAGAGCCAGGCUCUUUAUGUACUAGAACUGUCUGUCUCUAUCAUAUAUAUGACAUUUAAAUUGCAAAAGGCAUUUAACUAAACAGAAACUGUUAAAAGAGAAUACUGCGCAAAGGUGGUUGGCAUUUGGAGCUGUGGCUUAGUUGGGUAAAGCAGUGCCUACUGUAGUUUAGUUUUUCAUAACUUCCAUACCCAUCUAGGGAGUCACUUUAAAAAUAAACAUGAGAUAAAAUUAUUUAGAUCUACAUAUAGUCCACCUAAAGAAUCUUGAAUUAGAAUUAUAUUGAUACUUAUGAUUAAAAUGUUGUUUAAGUUAAUUCACUUAAGGGAAUUUUACAUUUUAAGCCGAAGUAGCGUACUGGAAGCAUAGCUGACUUGGGGUAUCUUUCCAAUUAGAAAAUUUUUUACCUUAAAUUUGAAAUUCACUUAGAAUUCUUACUUUAGUGAAUAAACACAUUAUGAAUUGAUUCAUUAAAAGUUUGCAUUGCAGCACUAAGACAGCUUCUAAUGUUUGUCUACCAAACAACCACUAGAGGGCUUCCUGAAAUGAAACGCACCUUUAGUCCGGUAUCUGACGCUGGACGUCCUAAUGCUCUGUGUGAGGACGCCCAGCGUCAGAUUUUUCCCCACAGGAAAGCAUUGAUUUAGCGCUUUCCUAUGGGGAGGUCUAAUGCGUGCAUUGCAUUUGCCACGCAUGCACAUUAACACGGAGGGGGGCGCAAGGACGGGGAAAACAGGGUUAGCUAUAGUGAGAGGAAUACAGCUUUGUAUUCCUGGCACUAUAUUGUCCCUUUAAGCAACACAUGAAGCUCUGUGGCUAAGUUGGUCCUGUCUAGUAACCAGAUCUAGUAAGAGAUCCUGAGUUCAAAUCUUUGCAGUGUCUAUGUUUUGAAAAUAUAAAACUUAGCAAUACUACGAUACAUUUCAUACAUACAAAGAGCAAGCCUUGUUUACUAAUUUUUCAUUCCAAUGCAAAAUUAGCCUCUUACUUUGCAAAAUUCCAGCCCCAAAAAGAUUUUUAAUACACCUCCUUUAUUUAACAUUCACUAUACCUUUAUCCUAUUAAUGUCACAAUUUACCCUGCCUGUGCUACACCCCAUGCACACAUUCACUGAAUAUUCCUAAAAUAUCCACAUAAAUUCCAACCCUCCACAUCCUGUUAACCGAUAACACCUCCCACCAAAGUCAGUUACCCAUUUUUAUGUCUUUAAAUAUCCUUCUUGUAUACAUUAUUAGGACAGCAUGGCCAGUUAUGAUCAGAUUGCAUACCUGCAUGUACAGCAUGGUCUUCUUAUCUUGCAAUCUGCAGUCCUGCAUGAGACAUAUCCCCUCCUCUUUGUAUGAUGUCCUCUACUUUACAACAAGCCAAUAACAAACAUCUGAAAAUAUCGCUGCACAAGAAGUAUUAUCUGAUCCUACCGUGCUAUGCUAUCCAAGUAAUGAGAAGUUACAGCACAGUCCUGCAGAAAAAGCAUCUCAUGUCUGACUGUCUUCUGAGGUGAACAUCCCUUUCCCCUUAGCAGGCCAGCAAACUUUACCAGUGAUAAUAUUUUUUCAUUGGGUGGCUGCCUUACAUACAGUGUCUUCCAACAUUUGGAUGUAUGCAAGAAGUGGCACAGGGAUGGUACAGACUAGUAGGAGCAUGCCCAUGAGGUAAUGUGAGUCAAUGGUGGAGAGUAAGAAGGCAUGCUCUACUGAAAAGGGGUUAUAUCACCCUGGCAGUCUGCAACCACAGUUUUAACUUUUCAGUGAUUAUUAUGGACCGAUCUAUGUUGCCUCCAAGUAACAACUCCAGAGAACAAACUUGGGACAAUGAGGCAAAGCCCAUGAUGUAUUUAAAUGACCGAAUAAUAGGAAACAAGGUCAAUCUCAAUGUAUAAUUCUGUGUAAGACAUUUAUAAAUAAACGUGUAUGAUAUACUAUAAGUUGCUAUUUGCCGUUUACGUCUGCCCAUCUAGUAACAACAACAACAGCCUAGUAGAUAAUUUAAAAAAAGAAUCACAAGCACUGUAGAGCUGUGGAAAAAGUUGGCUCUAUACAAAUACUAGUAAUAAUAACAGACUUUUCAAUAGACUGUCCUUGUUCUCUGUAAGUCUCUGCUAAAGUGUACAAUUUUUUUAUUUUUGUCCUAUUCCUCUCCCAUAGACUGUCAGACAUCCCCUGGAAGCAGCAUCCACAGUCCCAAUGAUGAAUCAGACAACGAAGCCAUUAACCCAUCAAGGUUGUUUAUACAAAUGAUAUGUACAAGCCUCUGCCUUGUCAUGCCCUCAUCCUGCUGGUGGGCAGAGUAGGACAGAGGGGCUGCUUGUAUUGUGUUUAUAUCUAUGGUGUACGAGUGCAGUACGUUUAGUCUAUGUAGUCCAUUUAGUAAUGUUCAUGUCAUAUUCAAAUGCUUUUGUUUUUACACGGAUCAGAGAGAGUACCACACUGAUUUUACAUUAAGUGUAUAAAGGAUAUAUCAUUACAUGUCAUGUAAUGCAGCUUGCAAAGUUUGUAAAAUUAUACAUUCUAAGUUCUACAUUAUUUCAGAAAGUUAUUUUGUAGUCUGUAGGUACACAGGAAGAAAAAGGUAGGCACUCAUAUUUGUCAGAAUGCCCAUGGUGAUUUGUCCAUGAUAGAUAUAUCUAGAUUGGAAACCGCAUACCUAAGAAAUGACCCUCAUAUUGGUAUUGUAUAAGAGUUGUAUAAAAGCGCACCAUGGAGACUAAUUAAUUAAUAGACCCAAAGAAAUUUUUCUUAAAAAAAAGAAAGGAUGGACAAUCCACUGGGUAGCCAGGACUUGGUCAAGCUCCUCACUAACCUAUAAUUACACGUUUCAGAGGACAUGAUAUUUCUUAAAUUUAAAUUCUAUUUAAAUGCAUAAUGCAAGGCAGCGAUCUAUGGCCAUAUGGUGCAAAUCAGUUUUAGUUUAUAAUUAUUUUUUUUCUAGACAAAUUCUGGAUUAAAUAUGGAUGGACAACAACUAAAUGCUUUUUCUGAACCUAUCAGUAAGCAGUGGGUCUACAGGUUUGACAUGCUGACAUUUAAAAAUUGCUUUACGAUGAACUUUCAUUUGUUUCUUUUACUUUCAGGGAUUUGAGCUUAGACACAAUGAGGCAAAAAAUCCACGAUCUGACAGAAAAGUUACGGAACGCUCACACCUGUCACAUCUGUCUUGUGAGUACUCACACCUACUACAUCUGAUGAGAACUGUUCCCUCUAACCACUUCUAUGACCAUGAUCCAGCUCUGGAAUAGUCAAAGGUCCACUUUACAUUUUUAAAGCAUUAAAGUUAGGGCAGGAGGAGAAGGUAGGGGGUCGGAGAGGACCAGUGCCAUUGAGAGCACAGAAAUGGUUUUACUCCUUUUGGUUAAAUGGCACCCAAGACCUCAAGGUACCCAAAGAACUUAAUUAUGAUGAUCAGAGAAUAUUUUAAACAAAGCUUUGAUGCACCUUGAGAUUUUCAAGAUAACAUUUUUAUCUGUUUUCAAGACUGGGAUAUUUAGUGUUAAUAGGGAUUAUAAGGAACUUAAUGCAAACUAAGGUUAAUAAAAAGGAAAUCUUUUAUUACAAAUAUAGUAAUAAAAACUAGCAAUAAUGAAUAAACUAACUAGCACUGAUUCCACAAAUAUACAGCAGAGUACACAAAGAAUGAAAAUUGAAGAAAUUAGUCUUGAAAUAGUAAAUAUACACCAAGGUAUGCAGGAAAACAAAUAAAAAUGAAAUACAAGUAACUAUCGUGUGAUAACCCACUGGAGAUUUUUGCUAUAAAUACUUCCAGUUGGUUGGUUGAUCCGGCGUCCCGUGACAAGCGUUGGAAAACAUGUGCAUGUAAUAAGAGGGAGGAAAAUUAAUACAUGGAAAACCAGUAUAAAACCAUCUCACUGAAAUAUGCUACAAAGAAAUGUCAGAGCAUACGUUACCAGACAAAGAAGAAACAGUCGCUUGUAGUGUUUUUCGCGCACAUCACUAACUAUUGAUAAUGUGUUUUUUCUUAUUCUCCUUGUAGGACUCAUACAGUGUCCCUGUAACCUCCAU
rnacentral:lncRNA from 1 species